rnacentral:rRNA from 1 species
UGGCUAGACGAGGGCUUAACUGUCUCCUCCCCCCAGUCAAUGAAAUUGAUCUCCCCGUGCAGAAGCGGGGAUCCACCCAUAAGACGAGAAGACCCUAUGGAGCUUUAGACACUAGGCAGCCCACGUUACACCCCCUCUCCUAAGAGGAGAAAACAUUGUGGCCCCUGUCUCCCCUGUCUUCGGUUGGGGCGACCGCGGAGGAUAAAAGAGCCUCCAUGUGGACCAAGGUUACGAACCUCACAACUAAGGGCCGCCGCCCUAAGCAACAGAAAUUCUGACCAAAAUGAUCCGGCACAAUGCCGAUUAACGGAACAAGUUACCCUAGGGAUAACAGCGCAAUCCUCUCCCAGAGUCCCUAUCGACGAGGGGGUUUACGACCUCGAUGUUGGAUCAGGACAUCCUAUUGGUGCAGCC